GUUUAGUGUAGCCUAAUCUUGUGGACUAAAGCCAUCAUAGUGGUUGUCUAGUAGUUGUCUUUUCAUUACAAGGAUUAUAGCGUAUGAGAAAGUGAAAGUUUGAAGACGGUUGGUCUCCCCCCUCUAACCCGUCAAUUAAAAAGAAAAUAGGAUGUGGGUGAAGUGAAGUCAGAAUGGGACCUGAUGUAAACUGAAAUAUGAUACAAACCUGCUGGCUUGGUAGUACAGAUAUACCAAUCAGUUUGGGCACAUUAUUCAAGCGUGCGAUGUACAGCCAUAACGCUUUGCCUAAUCAGGAGAAAUAAUUUGAAUUUAUUUUAAAAAUAAAGGGAA